UACAUAUAUAACUUGGUGUCCUAUAGUUACGGCUCAUGAGUACGCUAUCCAUAUAAUGCUACUGAUGUUGAUCAAUGGGAAAAACGCCAGGAUAUAUAAUGAGGACACAUAAACGAUUUGCACUGCUAGCUUUCCUUACUGCAGAAAAACAGGCAGUAUUAUUCUAUGACAAAUAUCAGCUCAAGAAGUACACGUCUAUGCAUCAUAAAAGAAUUAACAAAUAUUAACAUAACAUGAAAUAAAAUGGUGGCAGUAAGACUGCUAGAAACAAAUUGCCAGUUUGUUGGCCAUUCUUUUCCUUUUUUAUCACACUCAAUGCAUAAGAAGAAGAACUUCAAACAAAAUAAUUUCUCCUUUGUGGGCAGUGACACAGUGUAAGAGUUUUAGAUCAUAAUGAGCAAUGCUGAUCUUCAAUUUUCUGGCUUUCAUUAGAAACUUCAGAAGAACAUUGUCUAAUGCCUGAAAACAAAUGAAAUAUGUAGUCAGAUGAUCAGUAAGUACCUGUAAAGAAUACGUAAUAAACCAGGAAAGGUAAAAUAUUUCAUCUUUAAGACCCAUCAUGUGCAGGCCUUCUUUGAUCUUUUGCUCCUGAUACAGUAAAAAUCAGCAAAAUAAUCAUUCUUCAAGAUAAUGAAGAGUGUAACGUUAAAUUAAUAUAUUACCAAGAUACAUUGCAACUACUGCACCUUUUCAUAGACAGAAUUGCUGAUUAGACGAGAUAUUGGAUAGAGAAAUCCCAAAAGAUAUCUGCUUCAAUUGGAAAAUUAAUCAGAAAGCCCGACAACUGUAAAUUAUGGCAAACAGCCUUACACUAGCUAAGGAAAACAAAAUUCUAUUCAUGACAUUAUUUAAUUAGAAACAACAAAACAGGAACUGUGCAGAUACUAGGAGAAAAAGUCAUUUUAUAAGAAAAUACAGAAGAACGAAAAGGACGUACAGAAAAUACAAAAAAGAAGAGUUAAGAAUGAACAGAGAAACAUAAUAGUUGAAUGUUAACUGAGCCCCUAUUUCACCAUUAAAUACAUCAGACGCCCAUUACACAAGUUAAUGAAUGAUGAAUAUUUGGUAAUAACAAUUUUAACCCAGUUAUGUGGAAUGAACUGCAAAAAAAGAGUACAAAAACAUGCUAAAUUAAGCUUAAAAUUCUAUGCACUACAUGUCAAGCUAAUUUGACAAAGGAGAUCUCAUUUUUUUCCUGGAUACAAGCCUAGCUAUAGCCAAUCAACAACUUAAACAAGUCCUCUCCAAAUUUAGUUCCCAUAUUUCAGCAAUAGGAUGCGAUGGACAUGUCAAUUAGUUACUUUCCUCCUUUAUUUACUAAGUUCCCUACACUACCUUGAAAAGAAAAAUUCUUCCAAACCUUUCUUUUCUAAAUUUCUUUCAGUUCAUAAUUACAUUCCAACUAAAUAACAUCCUAUGUCCAUCGCAAUUCUCUCAUGUAGAGAAAAUUAAGGGCUUUCCCCAAUAAAUCUGGGACAGUUCCCUAAUUUCAAAUCACCAAGUACGUUAGACUUACGAAGAAUAACAUACAUCUUUGAUAAUGAUAUUUACAAAAGCAAUAAUUUGCAGCUAAAAGUUUCCUCAAGGAAAAUGAGUUCAAAGAAACUCAGAGAGAAUGGGAUUGCACUUACAGUACUCCCAUGACAUCCUUUACGAUGGACUGAAACUCAUCAUCUGUGUAUUCACGAGUAGGAAAUGGAGCUAUACUGAUGUUUGCAGGGAAAAACCGUGUCCAAGAAGAGCCAACAUCAGACUGAACUACAGAUGAAUGAGACUGCCGUAGCUCUCUAAUCUCUGCAGUAAUAUUAUUUCCAGUUUGCUGUGCCAUAAGUAUUACUAAUGAGUCCACAACUUGCUGCAGCUGCGAGAAAUGAAGAAGAGAUCAAAAUAAGUGAAGGGAUAGCAAAGUCAAGUUAUUAAAGGAAUAUCUUAUAAAACCACAUUAACGGACAGUUGAAAAAUCUUAUACCAUUAAUAAAAGAUAGUUGAGCCAUUUAUAUAUGGGGCAAUUGCUUAUAUACCCCUGAAAAGUUUCCGACUUUUCGAUUUACCCCUCUUAGAAGGCUAAUAUUGAAAAUACCCUUUCUACGUUCCAACCUAUUUCUAAUAUACCCAUAGAGUUAAAAUCUGUUAAUUAACUCUGUUAUCUCUGUAAAAUUACUAUUUUGCCCUUUCAAAUAUACCCUUCCACCAUCACUGACUUUCUUAUUUGCCCUUAAAGUCAGGGGCGCAAAAAGUAUUUUGAUUUUUGGUCUUUUCCAAUAUACCCCUCUACCAUCACCAAUAUUUCUUAUUUGCCCUUAAGUUAAGGGUAAAAUUGGCAUUUUAAUUUUUUUUAACAAUGGUACAUAUUUUACUCACGUUUAACCCAAGUUAACUUAACAGGAGAUAACUGCAGGGGUAUUUUGCAAUAACGGUGGAACAUAUGAGGGGUAUUUUAGAAAGAAAAAAAAAGUAGGGGUAAAUCGGAUAUUUUCAAACGUAUAAGGGGUAUAUAGGCAAUUAUCCCUUAUAUUAUAAAAUAUCCCAAAGUCGAAUGAAGAGUAUCAAAGAGUAAAAGAUGACGGCAGAAGAGUUAUUAAUGUUCAAAAACUGUGUUCGAAAUAACUAGUGUCUCCUAAGGGAUGAAGAUAUGCAGCUAAAAGAGAGAGGGAAAAGAACUCAUACAGUUAAGAAGCCACUAAAACCAUAUUGAAGAGUUGGUACAAUAUUCAUGCCUAGUUCCAAGUCAUUGAGAUAAGGUCCAUUUACAUCCAUGAUGGUUUUAACAUCAGGAAAGCCUGAGAAAGCCCAGGUGUGAUUGAGGCGUAUGCUGUAGUCAAAUAAUUUAGGACCCUGCCCAUGAAACACAAUAGCUCCUCUAAUCUUGGGAUUUGACAAGUUCCUGAACAAAAAGAUUAGCAUUAAUCUGUGCACCAAUAUCCACAUUUGCAAAAUUCACAUUUUUAACUGAUAUGUCCUUGUCGAGCUACCCACCCUAAGAGACAAAGGAAGACUAAUGGAACGAAAUAACUCUUUAAGUGGGAAAAAAAAAUGUGUGUAAUGCAAACUUUAACAUGCACUUAAAAAUUAUCACGCAACUGCAUAGAUAACAUGCAGAUGCCGAUAAGGUGCAAAGGAUCAACAGAAGAUAGUACCUACUUAGUUAACUGAACAGUAAUCCUCAGAAAUGUGAAGCGAAUAGGAGAAACAAAACUUACUUGGUGUGAUCAUUAAUGCCAUAUAGAUCCGAGCGUAUGUAACUCUCAAGGUCCAACUCAUCCUUGUAUAUUCUUCCGACCAUCUACUACCAGAGAAAAAAUGACCACCAAAGGUAUAGGUUGAAGCAGCAAAUAAAAAUUCAGCAUUUAACUAUGACAAUUAACUAUUUGUACGUAUUCUUAAAAUAAAUUGUACCUUCAGCAGUGGAAAUUUUAAAGUAAGCACAUCCACCAUCGACCUAGUCUCAUACGAGUCGGGCACGAAAGCCAAAUGUUCACCAUUUGCAAACAUCAGCUUCAGUAUGCUAUCAAAACUCAGAGAUAUCUCGCUCUUGCCCACUUCAACAAACAUGCCCUUCUUGAUAUACCUGAUCAUUGAAUCGAAAGACAACAGAUAAAAAACCUCUCGAGAAAAUCGGCUUGUAACUCAAAUUCUCUACGUUCCUUUCUGAAACUGUGAGACUGCGAGACUGCCACUGCACAGCUCAACUCAGAACGGCGUAAAAACAUUAUGUUCAGGUCCCACCCCAUGGUAAUGUAAGAUAUUUACGAAUCGGAAAAUCUACAAUGUUUCCAUCACUUUAAUAAGCGCCAUAUGCCCUUGCCAUAUCAAAUAGCAAAUAUUAAGCAUGUGCGCAGCGUUAUAAAUCAAAUCAGUGAAACAAACAAAUCUAAAGAAGGGUUAUACUCAAAUGACUCCAAAUAUAUUCCAAAAAACGUACGCUUGCACGGGAUGAAUCUGCGUGUCGACCCUCGUGCGGAUGCCGAUCAGCAUAAGCAUUACAAUCGUUGGCAGCAGAAUCUGAUAACAGAGCAUAAUGUAACACAAACCAUUCGAUAAAAACUAAAAGUUUCACCAAAAACAAAAAAGGGAAAACUGUAUAGAACUUACCUAAACUAUCACCUAUUUGGAUUUGACUACGUAACCUUUAAAAAUUUUGAUUUUACUAUCUGGCCUAUUUUAAUUUAUUUAACUUGAGGCAACUAGUGACUCUUUAACUUCAAGUUUUAAAUACGUUUAUCUUUACGGGUUUAGUCAAUAUAUUUUGCGCAAUUUAUAUAACUAUAAAUUCAUUAUAGCAAGCAAUUAGCUUAAAUUUCGUUUCCGAAGAGCCACCAAAUCACUGAAACAAAUUGAAAGAUUGGAUUCUAAAAUGAAAAAAUUAAAAAGAUGGAUAGUUGAAUCAAAACGGUCUAUUGUUGAGCUAAGUUUUAUAUAUUUUUACCAAAAUAGGAAAAAAAAAAAAGUAAAAACAUACAAAACUUACCUAAACUAUAGACCAUUUUGAUUUAGCUACCCGACCUUUCAAAAUUUUAAUUUUACUAUCCAACAUUUCAAUUUGCUUGAUUCAAGUAAGUCACCGACACUUUAACUUCAAAAUUUAAGCUAAUUACUUACUUAAAGAAUUUAUGUUAUAGUUGCGAGUAUUACAUAAAAUAUAUACUAAUUAAAUAAAUUCAAAUUUUGAAGUUGAAUUAAAAUAAACUGAAAGAUUGGGUAGUAAAAUUAAAAUUUUGAAAAGUUGGAUAGCCAAAUCAAAAUGAUUUGAUCUAUAGUUCGGGUAAGUUUUACAUAUUUUUACCACAAAAAGAAAAUAUAUAUAUACACAUCCAUACACACAAACUCUCUCCGCUUACAAAUAACAAAGGGAUCAGUGAUCAGUGAGGAGAAAUGAAUAAAUAUAGAUUAAUACCUCGGUACAGGUAGUGAACGGGUGGCGAAUUUUGAGGAGCCAGUUCUUGCGGAGCAUGGCGCGCAGCUGCCGCUGCGUCGGCCCCAUCUCUUUCCUCCAAUUUUUUGCGCAAAUUUUCACAAAUUAGUAAUUGAGCACUGCAUUCGAAAAGGGAGGAAAAAAAACAAAACCCUAGAGGGAGAUCAAAGAGGAAGCGGAGAGGAACAAAGGUUGGGAAAGGAGGCGAGAGAGGUGGAGGGGGUUGGGCGAGGAGGAAAAUGAUAAAAGCCGGAGAGUGCAGGUGGGGUCGGGGAAACAGUAACAGGCGCCGCCCGCGUGACUGCGCGAGCGGAGUUGGCGCGCCGGCGUGGCGGGCGGUGACCCACAGGGUCGGGGGAAAUAAGGAGAAACUGUUGCCUGCACGCGGCGUACGGCGUAUAGGGAGUCCCGCUGGGAUACUAUGGAUGGCGCAAGCGUUUUGUGCUAUCAAAUUUUUCACCGUUAGAUUUAAUUUUUGACUAUUUUUAUCCCUUAGAUUAUACUAUUAAAUUAAUAACUUACACAAUCCUAGGAGACCCACAUCAUUCUAAUCGUAUAUUUUCUCAUCCAAAGAUUUAAAAUCUAAUAGCACCAAUAGCUUGGUGCUAUUGAUAGUAUUCCAGUCUAGUUUGCCAUAUAGGUUUCUGUUGAAUUCUCAUAAAAAUUAUUGGGUAAACUUCAAAUACCACCCCUAUGAUUUCACACUUUCUCACUUUAGUACCCUAUGGUUUAAAAUAUAUCAAGUUAGUGCUCUAUGGUUUUAUUUUUAUCUUUUCGUCAGUUUUUCUAUUAAUUUUUCAUUAAAUUAUUAUAUACAAAAAAUUUCAGAUACAUCACCUAGGUUUAUUGAAUAUUCACUUUAGUACCCUUUAGUUUUAACUUUGUCACCGAUUUAAUAAAAAAAAAAUAGUGGAUUGAUAAUAAAAAGAUAAAAAUGAAAUCAUAAGACACUAAAUUGAUACUCUUUAAACCGCAUGGGUGGUUUUCGAAGUUUUUCCUAAAAAUUAUUUUUUCUAUGACUCCGACUACUAUACUCUUAUGAGUACGAUCGCCCUUGUACUCAUAAGUCGUUUUCGAUGAUACAGCUUUCGAGUCGACCAUUCAUACCAUUAAACAUCAUGUAGAGCAUUUAAAACUUCUAAAAAACAAAUUUCAUAAUUUUUUGAUAUCAUUCACCUUACAAUCAAAAGAUCUCAAAAUUGACAAUUUUUAACGGCCGGUAUGUGAUACUUGCUAGUUAACGGCGUAAAAGAAUCAAAAUUUGUUGAAUUUUUGAUAAAAAAUUUUAUUCACUACCUAGAUAAAGAUCAAUAACUUUGAUCUUAAAUUGAAGGAUCCUAUCAUCCUUUUUUAGUACGUCGUUCGAUUUUGACCGUUCAUUUGAUGCCCACUUAAUGGACUUUAUUAUGAUUUCGAAAAAUUACGAAAUUUAUUUUCUAGAAGUUUCAGAUACUCUAGAUCAUAUUUAACGGAAUGGAUUCUCGAUUCGAAAGCUCCAUCAUCGAAAACAACUUAUGAGUACGAAGGGCUAUAUAAUUAUAAGAGCAUAGUAGCCCUACUCUAUUUGUACUAUUUAUUCCUAGUGUAAACUUUAAAUACCACCCCUAUAGUUUUACACUUUCCCACUUUAGUAUCCUGUAGUUUAGAGUGUAUUAAUUUUGUAUCCUGUGGUUUUAUUUUUCUCUUUUCGUUAGCUCCUCCGUCAACAUUCGUUAAAUUAUAUACAAAAAAUUUCAGAUACCCCACCUAGGUUUAUAAAAUAUUCACUUAGUACCUUUAAUGUUUAAUUUUGUCACUGAUUUAACGAAAAAAAAAUAGUUAGAAAAAUAAAACCAUAGGGUACUAAAUUAAUAAACUUUAAAUCACAAGGUAUUAAAAUAAAAAAUGCGAAACUACAUGAGUGGUAUUUGAAGUUUUUUCUUAUUUUUAUGUAUCAUGGAUACUUUUAUAAGCCUCGCGUAUCUGUGUCGAACACACGCUUGUCCGAGUCGGACUCGUGUCCAAUGUUGACACUUCUUGAACGCGCAUUUAAUGCCGAUCCAUAAAACAUAUAAUUAAAAAAUAUAUAUACAUAUUUUUAUUUAUUUUUUACGCAUAUAUAAUUUAAGAUGAUAAAUAUUUUAGGUUUUUUUAUGAAUGCAUAUAAAGUUUUUAGACAAUAUAAAUAAAUUAUAUAUAAUGGAGAACCUUUUUUUCAAAAUAUAUGAAUUCAAUGAAAUUUUUGUUACCUUUCAUUCGUACGAGAAAUAUGAUAAUAUUUUAUCAAAAUUAAUAUUUUAUAUAUAAUAAAUAUAUAUUAUUAUAUUAAUAAUAUUAUAUUUUAUUAGCGGUGUCUGAGUCUCAAUUUUUUAAAAACUAUCAAGUUGUCAUGUCUGCGUCAUAUCGUAUUUCGUGUCCCGUGUCAGUGUUUGUGACGUCUAGAUUGAUUUAUAUAACUGUCAAAUUAAAGUUUUUUUAGUUAUGCUGUUUAUUUAGCACAAUGUGACUAAUAUAAAAAAUAAAAAGUUCGAAAGAUUUUUUUUCAUUUUAAUUCUUUAAAAAAUUUAUAAUUUAUUAAAUGAUUCUAUAAAAAAUUAUUUAGCCAAAUAAUUUUUUUGUCCAAUUCAGCUAAAGGUGAAAUAACAAUAUGAAGAAGGUCAAUCAUUUACCGUAUUCAUAAGUUGAUGAAUCAUUUAUCAUCUUUUUCCCAGCAAAGAAAUUGUAAAUAAUUUAUUGUUUCAUUCUAUUUUUUAUAUAUAAUUCUAACAGCUAUAUAAAAUUCCAAUAAAUCAUAUAUAAUCCUAAAACUUACAAAAUCUUAACAACCUAUUCAUAUAAUUUUAACAAUUAAACAAAAAUUCUAAUAAUUUAUGUACAAUCCUAACAACCUCAAAAAAAUUCUCAUAAUCUAUAAAAAAAAUGAUAACCAUUGAAAAUGAUGAAUGAUUUACCGUUUUCUAAAUACGGUGAAUGCAUGAUUCACCACGUUCCUCAUUUUUGUUCAGCAUGGUACUAAGUUGAUAAAAGAAUGGUUAAUUGGAUAAAUAAAAUUUUUAAAGGAUCAUUUGGCAAAUUAAAAUUUUUUAUAGGAUUAUUAUAAAAAAAUGUCCGAGUUGAAAAUUAUAAUUAUUAUUGUAAUUGAAUUUAACCUAGGAUGGACUGAAACCAAUUAUGGAGAAAAAAUGUGAGAAAAAAUAUAAUAAAAUAUUAGCAUUUCACAUUUUUAGUUUUUAUAUCGUUUACUUUUUAUCAAACAAACAAUAGAAUUAGAGUAACUUAAGUUUCACACAAUAUAUAUAUAUACAGAUAGCGAAAGAAAUAAAUUUUUAUCUGAACUCUAGUUUACUCGAAAGUCUAAUUUAAUCUGAAUUUCACUUUUAGUCAAACAAAGCGGCUCAUACAUUUUACUCACCAUACCAAAAAUUUAAGAAAAUUGCUAUUUUUACCCUUUGUUAUUGUGUGUACAUCUUACAUCUAUUGAUAGUAGAUUUAAAAACUUUUUUAGAUUUGUAGUAUUAUGAAAAAGGUUGAAAAGACAAGCAAAUAAAAUGGUCACUUUUUAAAGUCUAGGAUAUAAGAUUUACACCUAGCAAUGCUCAAUUUUUAAUAAGAGUGAACUACAAUUUGCCCUAGCUAUGUAGUUUGGCAUAUAUUUCACUAAUCUAUGGUUCAAAAAUUAUAUCUCACUAUUCUAUAAUUUUGAAACAAAAAAGCAAAGUAACACUUUGUGCAAAAUUACCGGCCGUCUCUAGAGCAAGUACCAAAGGGCUUGGUGGUUGGUACCCGAGACCCAAGUUCUAAUCCUAGUUGAUUUAUAUUUUUAACUAAGUUUAUUUCUAAAUAAAAUAACCAAGCAGGUAGCGUGCUACCUAUCUCUCUCUCAAAAAAAAAAAAAACACUUUGUGCAAAAUCGUGCAAAUUAUAUAAUGCUACAUUUAUUGAUAUAUAAUUUGUAAAAAAUAUCAUUCACUAUCUUGUUUAAUGAUGAUUCCUUACAACAAAAUACAAGUAAAAUGAUAUGAUAUUUAAGUGUAACUUUUCUCAAUACACUUUGAAAUCUAUUCUUUCAUAAUUUACAUUUUAAAACAAUAAUUUAAUUUAACGUAUAUGAUUUAUAAUAUUUAAUGAGCUUACUUAAAACAAAUUAUAUAUUUUAAAAACGUAUUAUCUAGUGAUCAAAUAGUCCAAAAAAAUUAACAAAAAAGGGAAAAAUAUUAUUUGAUUCAUAAAAAACUUGUAAACAAAACUUUACAAAUAUACGUUUGUAAAAUUAAAUUCUGGUUUCAGGCUUUUAUUACUGAGUUUUAGGGGUAAUGUUGUAUAUGCCGUGUAACUUAACUUAUACACCAAGGGCGCGUUUGGUUCGAAGUCGGAAUCGAAAUCGGAAUCGGAAUCAAAAUAAGCUGGAAUCGGAAUCGGAAUGACUCAUUACCUAAUUUUGUUUGGUUCAUCACCUGAAUCGGAAUCGGAAUAAAUCAUUCCCAUUGUCGGUGUUUGGUUCAGGUAGAUAUAAAAAAUGUAAUCAAAUUAAUAUACUAACAUUAUCUUUAUAAUAUAUUAAUUUAAAUUCAAAUUAAAAAUUAAAUAUUAAAAAUUUACAUCAAAAUUUUGAAAUAAUGUCUAAAUUUUAAAUCUUUUUUUUUUAAAAAAAAUUAAACUUUGAAGUUGAGUGGAUAAUUUAAAAUAUGAAACUAAAUUUUGAUUUAUUCAAAUUCAAAUUUAAAAUUACAAUUUAAAUUUUAAUUUGAAUACAUAAAUUUAAUUUAAGUUUGAAAUAAAAUUUGAAUAACAUUUUAUAUAAAUUAAAAUUUAAUUUAAAUUCAAAUUCAUAAGUUAGAUUCGAAAUACUUGAUUAAAUUUUAAUUUUUAAUUUAAGUUUAAAUUAAAAUUUAAAAUUAUAUAUUUAAUUUUAAAAUUUUAACUCAUAUUUUAAUUAAAAAAGUUGAAAAAAUAAAUUUAAUCCGAAUAAAUAUCCAUUCCGUCCGGAUUCAACUUUCAAUCCGGCCUCCUAGGCCAGAUUGAAAAAAGAGGUGAUUGGGAAAUUCCCAUUCCACUCGGGAAUUGUAAUCGGAAUGGAACUCCCGCGUACCAAACACCCACAAACGGAUUUAUCCAUUCCGAUUCCGAUUCCAGAGUGAAAAAGAAGCGAGCCAAACACGCCCCAAGUGUAGGUAAUAAUUUAGGAAACGGAUUGGGAUAGUUGGCGUGUUCCCUCAGUCAUCUCGGCGUAGAGAAUCAGACAUUUUCUGACAUUUUUUAGUUGUUCGUUGGUUCAGAUUUUGACCUUUUCUUUCUGGGAAGGGACCCAUGUAAAUAUUAGAAAAGGACAAUUAUGCCCUCAUUUGGGAAAAUAUUUUGCUGGAAAAUGUCUCUUUGGACGAGACAAUUUUGUCCAAAAUAUUUUAAGAUUCACGUCAUCUGCACAAUAAAUAGUAAAUAUAAAAUGAGUUUUUUUUUUUUUAUUUAGGCCUCUCGUGAUUUUUUUUUUCACAAAUAGCCUCAUAAAAUUUAUAAUUACAAAACUAGUUCUAUUUCCGCCACGCAAACGCCACAUCAGCCGCUGGCUGGAGUAGUAGUAUAAGCUAAAUAUGGUGAACUAUUCACUUUAUUUUGAUACGAUGAAUGAUUUACUGUGUUUAAGUUAAAUUACACUACUAGACUGUUUGAGUUAUUCUGCACUGCAGGAAUUGGGUAUUAUUUAGUCAUCUGAACACAAUGAAUGAUUUAUUUUGUUCAACUUAACUCUCCACAGCUAUCGACGUGACACUUACAUGACGGGAAUAUGAUCAGUUUUGUAAUUAUAAAUUUUAUGAGACUAUAUGUGAAUUUUUUUUUGAGAGGGGGUUAAACGCAAAAAAAAGCCCAAAUGAAAUAGACGUUUCAUAUUCAAAGUCGUCUCCGCGGAAUUUCCAUUCCUUAUCUAAUAUCCAAUUCUUUCGAUUCAAAUUCUGGGAAUUACCUGAAAGGGGUGAAUUUUCAAAACCUGAUGCGUCUAUUUUUUGUUUUUUUGGAUGAAUUGCAAGUUUGGUCCUCAAACUAUGAGUUAAGUGACACUUUAAUAUUUAACUUUAAUUUAUUUAUUAUAAUUUUAGACUCAAGUUUUUUGAAUUAUUACAACCAAGUUCUACAAUUUAAUUUACGUAACUAAAUUUUAACGCAUCGUUAAUAUAAAAAUAAUGUAAUAUCUUACUAUUGGCUCAUCAUCAUCAUUAAUCACAACGCUACUGUAUCCUCUCGACAUUAGUGAUAUAUUGAUGCUCAGUCAACUAAAUUGGAUUGUAAACUUGAUUUCAAUAAAUUUUUCAAAUUCAAACUAAAAAUAAUUAAAAAAAUUAAAAUUUAAGAACUAAAACAUCAUCUGCCUCGGAGUAUAUGUAGCAGGGAAGUUUCCCAAACAGCUGGGGUUUGAGUUCAGAUGAAAGCUGUCAGUAUACAAUGCAAUCAUGCAGCCACUAUGAUUUCUUCAAUUAUCUGAAGAACAGUCGUCUGCAUCUCAUCAUCCUCCAGCUUCUACAUUGCACUACAUUUGAGAUGUUAUGUAAACCUGUCUUCAAAAUUAUUGCUAAGAUAUGUAAUUGGAUGAUUUGGUACUUUUUAUUUAUAUGUGGUAUAUGAAGUUACCUUGAAUUUAAUAAUUUUAAUAAUUGAUGAAAUAUAAUUAUUAUUCAAUAAUUGUAAAUGAUAUAUAAAUAACCUGAAAUUUUAUUACAAAGCAUGUAUUGAUGUGUUUGUAAAUUUAUAUUUUGUGUUUAGUUGGGUGGACUAUACACACAGUUUUGUUGGAUGUUAAAGAGAAAAAAGAAAAAAAAGGUGCUUUGAGAUUUGAAUAUUACGGAGUAUUUAGAAUCAAAUUGAAUGAAUUAUAUUCUCUCAGAAAUUUCAUCGAACACCUAGAACGCAGUAUCAAUCUCCGGGCUCUUCCUCGUCCCUCUUCGACAUCUCCUUCUCCUUCUCCUUCGUCUUCUUCGUCAACCUCGGCCUCGGCUUCAUGGGCUUCAUGUAGGACGCUUGGAACCCCGCCAUGGCCCUCAGCGCCUUGAGCAGCGCCGCCUCCAACUCGGCCCCCUGCCCCUCGGGCUCCAGCACCCUGAGCGCCCUCGCCACCGCCUCCGCGGUGCUCACGCACCCCUUGUGCGGCUCCUUCUUCAGCACGAGCUCCGAGUCCCACGCGCUCGCCCCCUCCUCCCCCGUCCCCUCGUCGAACCCGCCCCCGAGCGUGACCCACGUCGCGAACCCCUCCAGGAACGGGAGGCUCGCCGCGGCCAUCUCCCGCGCCUGCGCCCACGUCCCGUCGAACACCACGAGCACCGGCGACGCGCGGUCCCUCGGCGGCGUGGCCGCGGCCCACCGCGCGAGGUCGAUGGCGCGGGGGCCGGGGAAGAGGAAGAGGGUCGGGGAGGGGCGGGAGUCGAGGAGCGGGGAGGAGCCGGGGCGGAGGCGGCGCCCGGGGACGGGCACGAGGCGGAGGAGGGAGCGGGAGAGGAGGGGGAGCGUCGCAAGGCGGUUGCGGCGGAGCUCGUGGGGGUGGUGGAGGACGACGACGGUGGCGGCGGUGGGGAUCGGCGACGUGGGGAGGUGCGCGCACACGCACACGCUCGCCGGGCGCCCGCACCCCGCGUCGCACGUCGUCGCCGGCGCCGGCGCUGAGGGGGAGGAGAACGGAUCCGAACUCGGCGUCGUCCAUGGCACAGGUUCGACAACGUUUAAGUGUUUAUUUCCUUAUUAAGUUGACGGGCUUUUUUUUGCAAUUGGCCCCUCAAUUUUUUUUCUUUACAAAUAGUCCCAUCAAAUUUAUAAUUACAAAUUUGGCCAUAUUUUCGCUACGUAGGUACCACAUCAGCGCCACAUAAGUUGGAGGGGGUGUUAGGUUAAACGCGGUGAAUAACACUUAUAUUCCCCUACUUUUCUUUUUCAAUACUUAUAUUUUUUUCGCAGUACAUAUAUUUUUUCUAGAUACAGUACAAUCAUUCACCGUAUUCAAACAAGGUGAAUGGUUCACCGUGUUCUGUACUUACAUUUUUUUUAUAUUUUUUCGCAACACAGAUAUUUGUAUUUUUUUCAAACACGGUGAAUCAUUUACCGUGUUUAGAUAUCGUGAAUGGUUCACCGUGUUUAACUUAACAAACUGGCCCAGUCCUACUUACGUGGCGCUGACGUGGCGCCUGCGUGGCAGGAUUAGGACAAUAUUUGCAAAUAUAAAUCUGCUGGUGUUAUUUUUAAAAUAAAUUUUUUUCAGGAGGCCAAAUGCAAAAAAAGUCCUAAGUUGAAAGUUGAUUUUUUUUUUUAUUAAUAUUAUCGGAACUGCUGUGCCCUUACAAUUUUUUUUUUAACAUAUGAUUAAAUAAGUUCAUAUAGAAUUUGAAUAGAAAAAAACAAUAGAAAUAAAAAUAAUAAUAAUUCAUUCAAUUUGAUUCUAAAUACUCUGUAAACUACAGAGGGGCAAAUUGAGGUUUACCCAUUUAAAUAUUUAUUUUGGGCGGAUUCAGGGCGGGGCUUCGUUAGGCGGAUUCAGGGUGGAUCAAUUUUUCACUUCUCGCAACACGGAUCAGUCUCAAGUUAUAAAAAUGACCCUGUUUAUUGUGCCAAAUCUGCUUAUUGUCUAUAUGUUUCUCAUUUACUACCCUAUUCGGAGCAGAUCAGCACGAGAACUCCCUCAAUCCGGAUCCAUCCCUACUCAAGGGCCCAUUGAAAAGCCAACAAUAGGUUCAUUCUAGAUUGCAUGUGUGGCAUGCAACAAUAAACUCUUGUGCAAUACAACUAGAACAUUAGCGACAAUUGAUGGUUUGUUUGUAUGAGAAGUAUCUAAAACAUUUUCGCAAUAUUUGACCGUAAGUAAUGCUUUGGGUGCCGUUUAUCUUGCCACUUUAUAGUCGUGACGCGUUGGUUGUACUAUACAAAACCCAAUUGUUGCACACAAUGCAUGUAUGCACGCACAUCAGCAACUUUUUAAAGAAUCUUUGAGGAUACACAGCACCAGCACUUCUCUUUUACCGCCAUCUUGAAAUAAAGCUUUUCCUGCUAGUUGAAAACAGUCUGAUUGGAUAGUUCCAAUACUAUUGUGCCAUGAUGGUAAAUAACAAUUCUAGUACUACGAAUGCACGUAGACCAGUAUAUAUUCAAUCAUUUCUCUCAAAUAAAAGGUGUUCAUAAUCUCAACUAGACAAUGUGUUUCUUUACUAAGUUUGCAGUGGUUCUACAAGAUCGUCCUCUAUCUCUUCCGUGUUAAAUGUCAGAGACUUUAUCAGUAUCUUGUUUGCUAAAUUAGGCUGCUUGAUCAUCGGAAAAGUUAGUUAGUCUUACUACGAUUACUAAAGAAAAUUGAAAAGAUCUCCAAAGAAAUUGCAGAUUGAUUAUGAUGGUAAUUUUCUGUAAUUAGUAGCACAAUAUCUUAUGAUAUUGUGCAGUUUUCAAACUCGAGAGUACUCGACAUAAAAGGAAAAAAGCAAAAUGAGCAAAACAACCAUUAACAUUUAAAUUUGGCAUGAAAAUUGGUACACAUUGAAAUCAACUGUGUAUGAUACAACAGAGUCAUGAAAAACUGAAACGACUAUUCUUAGAAGCAAUCCACAUAUCCACAAGUCAUAAGCACUUUCCCCGUGCAGCAGCUAUACCUACAAGUGUACAGCUGAAUUGAUUUGAAGUAUACAUAUCAAGCAACAUAUCGCGGAGGAUUAUAAUUUUGUGACAAAAAACAUUUGUCCUGGCUCUUAUACCUCCAUUUAGUAGCUAAUUGGUAUCUCGAUAAUCGUCUCAAUAGGAUGGCGACAUACUGGACACUUCUUAGACUGAAGCUUAACGGCUUCAGCACAUUCUCUGCACAUGCACUGUAAAUGCAAGAAAGUUCGAUCAUUAGUACAAUUCACCUUAAGAGACUGAUUCAGUUUUCUCACAGUUCAGGUCAUAGUUAAGUUUGUGCAGUUCUUACCAUAUGUCUACAUGGAAGAAGAGCAGUAUCCCUUGCGUUGAACAUACAGAUUACACACUCUAUCUCCGAAAUAUUGGUGCCAAUUUCUGCUUCUGGGGAAGAGCCAACACCGAAAAACUCCUGGUCAUAACAUUCACCGUUGACCCACAAAAGUUGCCGUUUGACCUUCACUUGGAAUCCAAAGGGUCCAUCAUCGACCUUCUCGAUCACAGCUUGGGUGACCUGCGUGCACUUAGAGGCUGUUGAUGGAGAAAUUGGUUCGCAAUAAGAUUCGGCAUAAAGAACAAGAGGGAAGACAUUGCCAUGCAAAGGCCUCGAGAGUUCAUUGUAUUCGAAGAAUCCCAAAUCCGUUCCAGAUCCUGGAGGCUGUAUGAAUCUCUGGCCGAACCCUUGUCGAAAAGGUACUUUCACAGGCCUGUCCAUGUUAUGAUACACUUGGGAGAAGCCACAAUAUUGUUCUUCCUUUGCAAAGUAAAAUAUAGUGAAACUGUCACCACAAACAAAAGGUCUUGUGUUCAAAAACUUGAGAUAGUAGAAACUGAGCAAAUCUCUGAUCUCAUGUUCAAAUGACAAAAUCAAGGCCUCGGAGACCUGCCUCGCAUGUGAAUUAAAUGGGACAAAACUGAAUAACACUAGGAGCCUAAUGGGACUCGUCCUCUGAUACCAUGUUAAACUAUGGGAAACAACCGUUAUUCUCCAAGAGCUUAAUUUUUUAGAGAAUGUCGUAUUUAUUAUUUAUACCCAUGAGUAAGAACCGCUUAUACUUGUUCGAGCGUUGUUUCGCACAGGAUAUAUGGUAAUCUUAUGCAGGCCACUAUAUUGUAAGAUUAUGCUCCUUUUCUUUCCUUUUCUUUUUAACAAUUGAAAGUUGUUUUCUUUCAUAAUAUUAGUAACACCAAUUUGCAAUAGAACAGAAUGUGCUGUUUUCUUUUUCAAAUUGUGUACUGUUUAUCAUCUUGAUUGAAUAUCCAGUUAGUUAUAAUUGACUACAAUAGAUUAUCUACGCGGUCAUAGCAAACUCUACGUCAUUCUAUUCUAGUUGCAUAUAAGACCCCUUAACGCUAAAUAAAUCGGAAAAUCUUAUUUCUCAACUAUUUGGAAUUCACUCAAAUAGAACUUUUUACUAAAUAAAUUCUACCGUCAUAUGUGAUUAAGAUGAGUUACUCUUGAAGUUUAUUUUCCAAUUUCUCCUCCAGUUGUCCUCAUUUUUCUUCUAUUUUCUCAUUUUUUAUGUUCUGUUUGCAGAUUCAGAAUGAGUCCAGAAACCAACAGUAAAAAGGAAACUUAUCCAUUUUAUCCAUCAAGGAGUCAAUAUACUUAUCUCUACUUUAAAUUUAAUCAAAAUUCAUUGAACAAAGAGAUUACUGAAAGGCUACUAUCAAUCAGUUAUUACCUGCCGGCGGCCAAUGAAUCAAAGGAGAAGGAGACCAAAUGGCAGUCGGGUUCCCACUCGUCAGGCUCGAUCCAGAUCGAGUCCUUGUCCACGUUGAUGAGGCUCUUGACAGUCUCGGCCCUUCGUCGUGACGGCAAGGGCUUUGUCUGCACAGAGGUGGGAGCGGAGCCGGAAGUGAUAGUCAGAGCAUCUCUGUACAACAUUAUUUGGGCAGCAGUAAUAGUAAGGGGUACUUCCCGCAUUUUCCGAAAUGAAAGGGGGAGAGGGAAGUGGAUGAUCACAUUGGUACCUUCUUCGGUGCCGCCUGCUUGUAGAUUGACCCAUGCCGAAUUUUGCUCGACUUCUCAUUCUCUCAUUUUUCCUCUCUUUUCUGUGGUUCCUCGGUUGUUCGAGUUCUUGUUUGGAUCCAAAUAGUUUUAGAUAGAAAUGGAUGGAGUGUGGAGAAUGAGAAAAUGGUUGAAUAGUUUUCGGAUGGUUUGUUGUUGAGAUGGUGGGAAGAGGAAGAAGAGUUCAACUGGGGCUUGUGAAUAACUACAGAGGCAUGAAAGCUUUCUUUUUGUUGUAUGUUUGUUGUAUGUAUGCAUGGUAGAUAGUGACCCUUAGGCUACUUACAAAGGGUCAAAGGAUGCUUUCCUUUUUACAAUUUUUCUUCUUGUUAGUUUCUUUCUUUGUACCAUUUCAUAUUUGCGCGAUGUUUCGGUACAAUAAAUAGGAUUGUUGGAUGGCGAUCGGUAGAACUCUGUGAUACAAUCUGGUCACCGCAUUGCAUCGCACCUUAGCUCAUCAUGCAACAUGCAUAUAUUCAGCGAAAAAUGGGGCGGGCCGGUCCAUCGGACUAUCGGGCUAUUCCAAAAUAAAAUAGGUUAUGGUCAGGUUUGCAGGUCCCGGAACGCCUUUCGGGCCGGAACUAGAUCAAGCCUCUUAUGAAUGUGGGCUUUUAUAAUUAUAGCUCACUAACAUAGAAAGAGAGAAGAGAGACUUUCUCAUAUUCUGAGGUUUAGGCAAGCUUUUUACCUAUUCCAAAGGGCUUCAUACAUAUUCUAAAGCUUAAUUUCGGACCAUUUCGUUUAAACACAUUCAUUUGAUGUUUUCGGGGGGUCUAAAAAGUCGAAAGCAUUUUGGGGCUCGCAGCUUCCGAUACAAUGAAAUAGUUAAAGCUUUUUCUUUAGUGGUGGUAGUAGUUGUUCCGCCUAAGAACUCUUUGAUAUCUCGCGCUCUCUAAAAUAUUAAAGCAAAUGCCUUUCGAAACACAUAAUUCAGAAACUGGGCAUAAGGGAAAUGGAUUUGUGCAUAAAAAUGUAUUGAAGGAUGAUUUUAUAUAGUCACGAUCAUCUCAAAAUGCUGUCGUUGAAAACUAUUGAUGUGUUGUCGUAUUAAUGUGUUGUAUACGGAAUACCCAAAACAUUCAAAAUGAUGACAAGCUAUUUCCUAUUAGGAGUUAAGUUGGGCCAACCUCUUCUCUUCAGUGGGCGGGCUAUGUCGUCAUGGAUUCAUAACAUAUGUUCUCAGGCCCAGGAUUGUGCAAAUAAUGUUCGAUUCGAGCUCGGGUUUACUGCAACGCAACACCCGAUCCGGCCCAUUCGCACCACUAUCUGCAGUUUACAUUCUGCAAUUGUAAGUCGAUUCUAGCUAGGGUAAGUUCCAUCACUAGUUCCUGAAUUCUCAGUCAAGUUCUCGAGCAUUUACUUUCGACAUUUUGAGACUUCGAGCUUUUUAAAUUGUUUCACUUAUUAAAGUCCUCACUUUAGAACGAGAAAUAGUAUGGCUAAAGAUGCGACUCAAUGUGUGGCGGUAUUUGAAUACGCGAUAGUAAAUCAACGCAUGGUAGAUGCAUAGUACAUUAACAUAGUUGUAUAUGCAGGUCUUGUUUGAGUGCGUGAAUUUCUUGUUCGAUAUAUUUUUUUAAUUUACUCAAGAAAUUCAUACAUUUGGUAGAUGAAAAGUAUGAUGUUUAAAAUAGAAAACCAUAUUCAAUCUUCAAAUUGUUUUUUCAGAAUAAGAUACAUUAUCUCAUCGGUAAAAUAUGCUAGAUAUUCUAUUAAAUCAUGAAUAACAAGAUAUUUGAAGAAACAAAAAUCAAACUCUUUAGUUUCCAUCGUAUUAGAAAAGUCUCGUACGACAUAAUUAAGUUGUUAUUGAAUAACUUAUUCUGACAUCCAAACAUGGCCUAAGUAUAAAUAACAAUUUUCUCUCUAAUGAUAAAUGUGGGAAGUGACAAAAAUAAUGAGCUUGUAAGAGUUUAGAGUCUCAAAUAUCGAACGCGAAAGUUCAAGAACCAAUGUGGACCAUGGACAAAAGUUUGGGGAAUAGUAGUGUAAUUUACCCAAUUCAUUUACCCAUUCUAGCUAGUUAUGAGCAUGAAGAGAAAAGUAGAACCGGCUCCAACCCGAGCGUACCCUUUCCACCGAUGUGUAGAAACCGAAAAAUUCAAGUUUCCUACAUGCCCAAGAUCGUACAACCACCGAAGAGGACAAGAAUGAAGAAAUAGAAAGCUUACAAUAAUAAUCUCAAACAACUCCACAUAUAAAAUUAAGGGAAAACUUCAAAAACCCCCCUUGUGGUUUCAAUUUUUUUCACUUUAGUACCCUGUGGUUUAAAAUGUAUCAAGUUAGUACCCUGUGGUUUCUCACUUUAUCACUUUAGUACCCUGUGGUUUAAAGUGUAUCAAGUUAGUACCCUGUGGUUUUGCACUUUAUCACUUUAGUACCCUGUGGUUUUAAUUUGUAUCAAGUUAGUACCCUGUGGUUUUUUAAAUCACAGGGUACUAAAGUGAUAAAGUGUGAAACCACAGGGUACUAAAGUGAUAAAGUGCAAAACCACAGGGUACUAACUUGAUACACUUUAAACCACAGGGUACUAAAGUGAUAAAGUGAGAAACCACAGGGUACUAACUUGAUAAACUUUAAACCACAGGGUACUAAAAUGAGAAAGUGUGAAACCACAGGGAGGGUUUUUGAAGUUUUCCCUAAAAUUAAAUAACUUUACCAAGAGUAUCCAAAAUACCAUAUAAUGAAAAUAAAAAAAAGACCAAAUGAACAUUCAAUCAAAACACCUUACAAUGAAUGUUCACAAGAGAGGAGAAGAGGUAGAUUAGAGGUCACCCACCUCAAACCUAGCAAAAAUCCAACCACCUUUUGGAUCCUCUCUCACACUUCUCUUGCACUUGAGAGAAACUCCAAAACAAAGGAAAUUUAGAAGCUAAAGAGAAGAAGCUCACUUUUUUUCUCUUAACCUAUUUUCUUUUGACCCCCUAACGAAAAAUCCAUAUAGCCCAACUUGGCUCACUUAGCCCAAAAUAAACCACAAGUCAACUUGACUCAAAGAGAAGAAAAAGAGGCCUAUUUAAACAAUAGACCAUUGGACUCCUAUAAAUACACUUAUUAAACUAGUAAACAAGAGGAAACAAAAAAAAAAAGUUUAGCACUAAUUUUUAGAGUCCGGCUAUGAUGCUUGUAAAUUUUUUACCGUUAGAUCUACGUUUUUAAUCAUUUUUACCCGUUAGAUAAUACUAUUCAACCAACCACCCACUCAACCCUAGAGGGCCCACAUCAUUCUAACCGCAUAUCUCUUUGUAACGACCCAGCCCACUAGCAACAAUAACUCGUUGGGCCCAACAACCAGCCCAAAAUGCUUAAGUCCAGUUAUUAUUACUAGUGUUUAAGUCUCUUAUAAACCCAAUGACAAUCCCAUUCCCAUCCGAUGUGGGACUAUUGGGGUGUCACAGACUCCCUCCAUUAAGGCCCUGACGUCCUCGUCAGUCUAAUCACACACACAGCCCAAGAUUACCAGGCGAUAUGAGACUCGUCUCGCUAGCCCGUCAUUCAGACCCUGGCUCAGCCGAGACUCGCCACACAUGUCCAGCUGGUGAACCGGCUCUGAUACUAAAUGUAAAACGCAGCGGAAGUAUUCGUUCGUACUUUUUUACGGAAGCGAUUCGCGUUACAACUCGAUGAGCCCGGAUCGUCGAGGUUGAUUCACGUGUCCUUUGAUUGUCCUUGAUUAAAUCUUCUCACGUUCCAAACUCGCGAUGGAUCGAACUACAAACGAGCAUGAUCACAAAUCCAUCGUUCAAGUCACUCUUAGAAUAAUAGGUUGAUGGAGGAUGUGGUUUCUCUCUUUCGUUUUCUUAUUCUCUUUUCUUUUUUCAUUCUUGUACAUAUUUGUUAUGUGGGAUCGCCCGUAUAUUUAUAAGGGAUUCCAAAAUCCUAAUAGUAUUAGAGAUAAGGCCAAAUCGGUUAUUAAUUGUUAUCCUAAUAUGAGUAGGAUUUAUCUCUAACUAACUUUCCAAUUUGAAAGCGAGAUUAAUUCCAAUCCAAUUAGAUAACAUAACAUCCGUCGGAUCGAACCCGCUUAUGGGCGUACCCGAUUUAAUUAUUAACCGAAUGCCAACAUCUCCCACUCGCAUCGAUGCCAUCGUAACCACUUCCUCAACAUCACACCACUAUUAAUUCUAUUCAUACAGGAAAAUGAAUAGUGCGACCGCCGAGUCAACCUGCAUUUUGGGAGCUCUAUACUAGAAACCGCAUCCGGCCAGCAUAGAGACAUCAACCCUCAAAAAAAGGAAAAACAAAUAUUAGACUCGUGAUGCCCUAGACUAUUGAAUUACAUCAGGUUUAGCAUCUCUAAUCCCUCAAAGAGCCAUGCUAACCGCAAUUGCGCACAUUAUGACACUAUACUCAUGAUUGUUUCGCUAUAUUGAAGCGAUACAACCUGUCGACAAUGAGUCAAAGUGUCUUAAUGUAAUUCAACUAGUCUUCCUUGAGCCCUCAUGCCACUGAGUUGAGAACUGAUUGCUUUUCCAGCAAUGCCCCGUAAAGCCGCAUCAUUCAUAGCUGUAGGUAACAUGCCAAAGUAGCAACAUCAAUUCUUUCACUUAAUCACAUAGUCAAAAAUCACUAAGAGCAUCUAACAUAUAUAGGACAUCGUCUCAAAAUAAUGUCCGUAAGAACUCACACGAUGAGGAAGCAGGGAUCCAUUCACUCAUCUUCUUUAUUUAGUCGCCUAGCACAUGUAGUAUGAAAUACAUGCUAUGACAGAGAAUCCCAAUAAGCGUAUGUCUUUCUCAAUGUCAUAUGGAUCUUAGCUCAAUCACUUCCGGAGUGUCUAGCCUGAGUUCUCCAUUUGCUCGCUAUCUCAAGCGUCAAACGGUGAGCUCACAUCCGGCUGUUAAUAUACAGGCUAUACGAAUCGUGGGACUAUUCGUAUACGGUCUCAUUAAUGACCUCAUCUUGGUGCCAACCAAGACGGCUUCCAUUAAUGCCUCAAUUUUCGCUCGCUCUCUACAACGCCGAAAAGAAUGAUUGUCCGUGUGAGAGGGCCAAUCAGCCUGUGACAUAAUAUCAAUCAGUUCUACAACAAUAUAGAAAAUAUAUCCACGUGUACUAAUCUCACCAAAUAUCUUUGCAAAAAUAAUAAUUUGUAAUUAAAUAACCAAAAAUAAUCGACUGUCUACAUAAUCAAAUCCUACGAAGUGCAAGAGCUUUAACAUAAGCCAAAAAAUAAUUCUCUAACAACAGGCUUAGUUAGAGAAUCUGCAACCACGCGACUCGUAGAUAUGUGUUCCGGGAUUAUUUUCUUCUGCGCCACUGCUUUCGAGUGGUCCAAUCCCAGAUUAGACGGAAAAUGGCUCAGGCCCACGGCAUAGCAUAUAUCAGGCUGAGUACACAUUAUAGCAUACAUCAGGCUUCCGACCGCAUCAGCAUAUGGGAUCCGAUUCAUCUUAUCCUUCUCUUCAGAAGUUUUAGGGCACGGUUUAAGGUUCAAACUCUCACCUUUAGCAAUAGGAGUGUCAAUGGGUUUGCAAUUGUGCAUCUGAAAUCGUUCUAAAACUUUUCUUAGGUAAGACUCUUGAGACAUAACUAAAAGUUUCUUAGAACGAUCUCGUAGGAUCUUAACUCCGAGCACAUAAUUCGCUUCACCCAUGUUCUUCAUUUCAAAAUUAGAGGACAGUCACGUCUGAGUGGCGACAAUCAUCUCCUUAUUAUUCCCGGCCAAUAGGAUGUCAUCAACAUAUAAGGAAAGGAUUAGAAAAAAUCUUUGGACCGUUUAACAUACACACAAUGAUCUUCUUCAAUCAUCGUAAACCCAUCUUCAGUGAUGGCUCGAUGAAAUCGAAUAUACCACUGUCUGGAGGACUGCUUCAAUCCAUAAAUGGAUCGGUGGAGCUUACAAACUUUAUGCUCCUCACCCUUUACAGAGAAGCCAGCAGGCUGAUCCAUAUAGAUCUCCUCGUCCAGUUCUUCAUUGAGAAAUGCAGUUUUAACGUCCAUUUGGUAAAGUUCCAAAUCCAAAUAUACGACAAUGGCCAAGAUCAGACGGAUCGAAGCAAACUUUACGACAGGAGAGAAGGUUUCCUCGUAAUCAACGCCUUCUCGUUGGGUAAAACCCUUUGCUACUAGGCGAGCCUUGUACCUAUCGAUAGAACCGUCUGCCUUGCGCUUAAUCUUGAGAACCCAUUUAUUCCCGAUUAUUUUGUGCCCUGGUGGCAAGUCAACCAAGUCCCAGACAUGAUUUGACUUCAUCGAUUCUAUUUCCUCUAUCAUUGCAUCCAACCAUUCCUUAUGAGUAGGUAAUGAGAGAGCCUCUUGGAAAGAUCUAGGCUCAUCAUUAUCAUGUGCAGCAACUAUGAAAGCUUCCCCCUCAAUCUCAAAACGACGAUGGGGAACUCCCACACGUCUGCUCCUACAAAGUUGAGGCUCCAUAUUUAAAGGUAAGUCGCUCCUACUAUCCCCAUGAGGUAUCGGAGUUGCCUCCUCUGCCUCAACUGAGCGAAUAGAAGCGCCAAUGUCAGAGUCAUCCAUCUCAUGGAACUCAGUUUCAUUUCGAACCUCACUUCUAUAAGGAAAAUCCUCCUCGAGGAAUUCAACAUUUCGUGACUCAAUCUCAGUCAAACUUCCAUCUGGCUGCUUUCCAAUGAACACAUAUCCGUUAGAGUGAUCAGGGUAUCUUAUAAAGAUACACUUUCUUCCUCUAUGACCCAACUUUCCAUACUUGUGAGAAGUGUUGUGUACAUAAGCUGCCGAACCCCAAGGUCGCAGGUGCUCCAAAUUUGGUUUUCUGCCUGUCCAUAAUUCAUAAGGGGUGGAAGGUACUGUUUUGGAGGGUACACGAUUAAGAAUGUAAGCAGCAGUUAACAAUGCGUCUCCCCAAAAGGAGACAGGCAAAUUUGCUUGCGCCAUCAUUGACCUAACCAUGUCAAGCAAGGCGCGAUUUCUUCUCUCCGCUACACUAUUUUGCUGCGGAGUGCCAGGAAUUGUCAGCUGUCUGAUUAUUCCCUUUUCAUCACACAAUUUCUUGAAUUGUUCAGAUAGAUACUCGCGGCCUCGAUCAGUUCUUAAGCAUUUAAUUUUCAUAUAUAACUGAUUCUCAACCUCAUUUAUAUAACGUCUAAACAAUCCAAUGCUUCGACUUAUGGGAGAUCAGAUAAACAUGACCGAAGCGCGUAUGGUCAUCUAUAAAUGUGAUGAAGUAAAAAGCACCAUGUCUUGCUCUCACACUCAUUGGGCCACAAAUGUCGGAAUGGAUCAAUUGUAAAGGAAAUUCUGCCCUAGAAGCUUUAUUAAAUAAUUUUUGGGUCGCUUUUCUCGCUAAACAAUGUUCACAUAUGGGCAGGUCGACUUUAGUGAGCGAGCUCAAAAACCCGUCUCUAACUAAUCUAAUCAUUCUAUCCUGCCCAAUAUGACCAAGACGUGCAUGCCAUUUAAUUGAAACAUUGUGAUCAUUCUCAACAGAAGAUAGCAGGGAAAAGGAAUCACUAUUAUUAAUGUUAUAAUAAAUGUUCAAAACUAUAAAACCAUUUGACAUAAAAUCUCUACCAUAAUAAAUAGUUCCAAGAUGAAUCUCAACUACAUCACUCUCAAAACAAAAAGAAAAAACCUAACUGUAGCAUAGCAAGAAUAAAAAAUAAGUUCUGUCGAAUUCCUGGAGCAUAAAGUACAUCAUGUAGGUACAAAGUUCGACCACCUUGCAUGAUCAACUUGUAUGUGCUAAUGCCUAACACAUCGACACUAGAAUCGUUCCCCAUGUAUACUUUUCUGCUCCCAGCAGGCACACGACGGUACUCGACGAAUCCCAGCCGAUCCCUCGCUAUGUGGUCUGUUGCUCCUGAGUCUACAAUCCACACAGGGAGAGAUUCAGCAACAAACAAAAGAGCGAGAAUCGGGAUAGAGAUGUACCUUCUUCGGCUCAGUGCAAUCACGAGCGAAGUGUCCCAACUGAUUACAAUUGAAACAAGUCAUCUUUGACUUGUCCUUCUUGCCACCUUGUUUGCUUCUAUUUCUUUUAGUGUUCUUCGCGUUCUUAGGUGCGGAUCCACUACGAUUUUGAGCCUUAGUAGUCCUCUUUCGCUUGAACCCAGAUAUCCUGCGAAAGUUUCAUUCAGCAGCAUUGGCAGUUGGAGUUUUAACAGCCUCAAGGCGCUCCUCCUCCAACUCCAAAUGCCGCGCAACAUCCUCAAAACUUUUGAUAUUGUCAUUAUGGGUCAAAUUUACUCGCAUAUGUUCCCACGAAUUGGGAAGAGAGCGAAUCGUAGCUUGGAUCUGCUGCUCAUCAGUCAAGGUGCCGCCAGCCGACUUUAACUCGCGAAUCAUAUUUGACAUUGUUCUUACGUGCUGUUUCAUAGUCUGAUCAGCACGCUUCUUAUAACUGUCAAACCUCAUAGUCAGACUGCGCAACCUUGUACCCGAAGUUGCACCAAAUUUUACUUUGAGAGCCUCCCACAUGUCAUACGGAGUCGGAUACUGCUCACACUCGCACAAGAGAUCAUUCUGCAUACUGCUCAGCAACGUGAUGCGAGCAAUGCGAUCCUUUUUAAGCCAAUUAUUAUAGACUUCCAUCUCUCGGCGAGCCUGGACACUGGUGCCCUUUGUGGGUAGGUCCAUUUUAUUACUCAAGUUUUUCAGAACCUCUUGCUCAGCGAGAACAUAUUGAAUUUUACGGUGCCAAAUAUCAUAAUUGUCACCAUCCAAUUUCUCGCCCUUGUUUAAAUCCGCAAGAAUUUGUUUGGAAGCCAUUAUAUCUUACUUUGUUCAUGCAAUGCGCAGAAAAGGAUAUUUUAAAACUAGUACACGAUACAUGUAUUCAAUUUUACCGUAUCUCUAAUUAAAUAAAUUAAAAAAUUAGACCAUAGAUGCGUAAAGGAAAAUUUCGCUAUACUCAUAAUCACAUCACGCACCAUAUGUCAAAAAAUUUUAAAUACUUAAUAAAGAUGCACAAAAUAUUUGGGAGUAAAAGCAUAUAAUUACUCUACCAAAAAUAAAGGACUCCCACUAGAUAAGACAUGCAUAAAAUAUAUGUGCCUAAAGAUACAUUUAUCCAUACAUCAUAAAAGGCAUUAUUAUAUUUUAAUAUGCAUGAAAUAUAAUAAAUGCAUGCGUUAUAUAUAUUACAAAAGCAUAUUUAGCCAUCAAAAAUGCAUAUUAAAAAUUUAUUUAAAAAAAUGGUGCAGAAAACCAAAAAAAAAUCAGCAGGUCCGAGCGACUGCGGGCCCGUUCGCGGGUCAACCUGCGCGGUCGGCAAGCGCUGGGUCGCGCGGCCCGCGCCGGGCCUGUUAGCCCGCACAGUCCGCGCGCGGCCCUGAAGGGCCCUACGGCCCACAACCUCGCGGCCUGCGCGCAGCCCGCGCGGCCCGCGCACCCCGCAUGGCUCACUCAGGCUGCGUGAGGCCAGCGUGGCCAGCGCACGGCCCGCACGCACGCGCAGCCCGUGCAUGCGCGGCCCGCGUGGCCUGCGCUCACGCGCGGCCUGCCUGGCCCGCGCUGCGCACGGGCUGCGUGCGGCCCGCGUGGCCCGCGCGGCGGCCUGCGUGCCCGCACGGCUCACGGGCUGCGCGCGGCCUGCGCACAAGUGCGGCCUGCGUGGUGUCCGCGUGCGCGCCAACGCACCGGAACACUAUUUUUCAAUUUUUUUAUUUUUUUAUUUAUUUUAUUUUUUUAAAGAUAGCUAAUCUUUAAAAAAUCAUAACAUGAGAUUUAGAAAACCGAUUUAGACAAGAAAUAUGUCGAUAGAAAGCUUGUGACGAGCUCUUGCAAGUUUCACAAUGGGAUAUGCAUCACACAUCAAAUAAGCCACCAAAAGUUCUGAUUUAGGGUUUUGUUUUUCUCAUAAAAUACAAAACCAAAUCAAAUCGAAAUUUAUUGAUCUAAUCUACAACUUCGGUGCUUCAAGAUGUGUAAAAAUCAUACAAAGAUAUCCAUUUAUGAAAAAACCGCCAUUAACGCUCACAUACAUGCAAGAAAAAAUCUAAAAUAUGAUAGAUUUAAUUUAACGCAUGUAAUCUCAUUAAAGGAUUGAUCUAUGCCACGAAAUCAACCUAAAAAAGGCUCUGAUACCAAAUGUAAAACGGAGCGGAAGUAUUCGUUCGUACCUUUUUGUGGAAGCGAUUCGCGUUACAACUCGAUGAGCCCGGAUCGUCGAGGUUGAUUCACGUGUCAUUUGAUCGUCCUUGAUUAAAUCUUCUCACGCUCCAAACUCGCGAUGGAUCGAACUACAAACGAGCAUGAUCACAAAUUCACCGUUCAAGUCCCUCUUAGAAUAAUAGGUUGAUGGAGGAUAUGGUUUUUCUCUUUCGUUUUCUUAUUCUCUUUUCUUUUUCCGUUCUUGUACAUAUUUGUUAUGUGGGAUCGAUUCCAAAAGUACAUGAGCUCAAUUCCUAAUUUUUAACAGUUAUGUCACUCUAGCUCUCUCCAUGCGCCUCACAUUUGAUUCCAAAUGCUCUUCACAUCAGGGCAAAAGAUCUUUUCAAGUUUUUCCACAAGACAAAAAGCACUAAUCUUCUAGAUUCCAUCUUCCACACUUGGCCCCACAUUCCCCAUUUUUGAAGAAUCCCAUGCAGCUAAAAGAUGCAAUACCAAUCUAGUGAUAUAUGCAAUAUGUAAUAUUAUUCUUUGAAGGUGAAAAUGUAUUGAGACCCACUCAACAAUGGUGUAUUCUUAAAUGGCCCCCCGCAACUUUAGUUUUCUCUAUUUACGUUCAUUUAACGUCUGAUUUUCUGAAAUCGAGUUAUUCUGGUCACUUUGAUUAAAAAGUUUUCCAAGCGAUUAAAAUCAUUAAAUUUGAUAAAAGCAUAUAUUACUAUUUGACUCUAAUCACUUAAUUUCAAAAAUUGGAAGUUAAGAGAGUCUCAACUUUUUUUAAAAAAGGUUAAAGCUGGGGGGUUAUUUCCGAAUAGCCUAUAAUUGAGGGGGACUGAUCCAUUACAUUUUUACCUUUUUUCAUUAAGGACAAAACUUUGACAAAGAGGACAAGAAUAAAUCUAGCAACUGAAAAGACAGCAAAUUUAUUGGCAUCUUAUCUACAUAAACAUUUCAUUCACAUAAAAAAAUUUAGCACAUUGGCAUGCAAAGCCAAAAAACUUUUUUAAGUUCUCAAGCAUUAUGUGCAUAAGAUCAUACUUCCAAGUUCUAAGAUUCCCCAGUGCCUUUUAGUGGAUGAUCGAGCUGGUUUUCAUUUGAGUCUUCUCAAGCCCAAAGCUUCAAGUUUGUUUGUUUUUUUUUUUAAUACUUUUUUGAUUUAAGACAAGGAGAAUUUGAUCCCAACAGUUGCCUAAUGAACCAUAGGUCACUUCAUGAGAGGGCCAUGCAUAUUGAGGCUACAUAAGAUCUUAAUAAGAUACUAUCACAUUUCACCUUUAAUUAAUCACCGAGUAACGCUGUAGGUAUUGCAUAUAUGACUCUUCUUGUAAGUUAUUAAUAUGUUUGCAUAAUAACAUUCUAAAUAUAGUAUAAAUCGGCACAUCAGUAAUGCAAGUAUCCGUAAGUAUAUAAGACGUACCAAAGCAUCAAGUCUCUUUAAGGCCCUAGUGAGUUGUCGAAAGUUUCCACUUAGUUGAUUUGCCAAUGGUGAACAUUUCAUAGUGGUUUAAAAUGAUAGAAUCAACAUCCAAAGUGAUUAAUAGAAUAUUCAAAUUCGUGGCACAAACUGGGGGAUUUAUCAGAAUAGAGAGAUUCGUUGUAGAAAGAGGGUUGCUAAGCUCAUAUACGAAGGAAAAUUAUAUAAUGCGAAAGAAUAUAUAUUACAAAAUAUUAUUAUUAAUAAAUCAGUGUUGUAAUCCACACAAUAGCUAGUUAGCAGUUUAGCUUAUCAAAGUUAAUGUCCAAAUAUUUAGUGUUAUACUCGAAUUAAAGUUGAUUCAUCAACUACCAGACACAUAUUGAUACCUUGAGAAUUGUUCCAAUAAACAAAAUUGGCACUAGUCAAAGGUCUUCAUUAAUUUAUGCUCAAGCUUAUAAAUGAAAUAAUCGUACUUCAAGAGGAGUACUAGAAGGAUUAGACAUCAAUGACUUGAAUAAUAUAAUGGAAAAAGGAAAUAGUUAAUUAUUGUAAAGAAUUGAACUGGUGAAGUGAUGGGUGCUCUACCAAUGAUAAAAAGAUGAUGUGCUUAAUGAUUGUUUACAAAUUACAACAAAGGCCAAUGAGAUCUCUUUGGUGGGUCCACCUUUUAGCUAUCUUAAUGCCCCUAUUUGAGUGGUGCUCCUUAUCUUGAAUUUGGACAAGGUACCCUAAAUAUUGGCUUUUCUCUAUGGUAGGGCCAUUUUUUUAAAUACCAUAUUGUUUGCGUUUUUUUUUUUUUUCUUCUAACAAUGUGGAAUCCAGCUGCUAUCCUAUUAAUACGACAAAACACUUUAUCUUAUCAAGUCAUUUUAGAUGAUUAAGGCUAGCCCGAAUUUCGUAAUUUUUAAAGAUAUUUACGUUAUGGUUGAAAGACCUCACAUUCGAAAAUUUUGGACAGCCUACGAGUGCUGUUUACUCGUCUAACAGUUUAAACGAUUUAAAUCGGUUGAAACAUUAAUUGAAGGAAAAUUCUAUCUUGAUCAUGUUUGAUAGCCCCGAUCUUAUUUUGAGAAACUUUAACCUCUAUUUUUACAAUAUUUUUUGUUUUCAACUUUUUAUUUUGUGGUCUUUUGAUGCACUAGAUAAUUAUUUUUUAAAAAAUCAUAAAAUUUGAUUCCUAAACUUUUCAAAUGCUCAUGGAUCAUAUUUGAUGGUGUCGAUUGCCAAUUCAGACUCCCAAUUAUCGAAAAUAUCUUGAUUUGACAAAGGACUUUGUCUUAUCAAUAGAAUAGUAGCUAGGUUCUAACAAUGUGAACCAUUAGAGCACACAGAAAUACAUUUUGAGGACCUCUCGGCGAAAUGACAUUAUUUUUCAGCUAAAUCUAUAUGAAAUUUAUCUAUCUAAACUAUGGUCUAUUUUGAAAUAAGUAUAUAGCUUUUAAAAGUUUUGAGUUUACUAUCUAAUCAUUAAAUUCAUUUAAUUUGAUCGAUUCAAUGGCUCUUUACAGAAGAAUUUUUUUUGAAUAUUUCUUCUGAUCAUUUUGCUCGACUAUCUUUCUAUUAAGGCAAACAUGACAUGUUCAAAUUUGUAAAAACGAGCCAUAAAUUUUUUAUAGAAUUCAUAGGGACUUACCCCUAUAAGUUUGAACGUGCUAUCAAAUGGCCCAAAUCAAAUGGAUUGAAAGAUUAAAUAGUAAAAUUAAAAAAAAAAAUUUACAUAUCAAAUCGCUAAUUAUGUGCUCAAGAGUAGUUACACUCGAUAUUAUCCUCAAAAUUUAACAAGAUUAUUAAUUACUAGAUUUAUUGAAGAAAUUAACUUAAGAACACAUCCAAUAGAAUUGAUUAAUUAAUGAAGCUUAAUGUAUUAUUCGGCUCAUUGAUUUGUAUUUGGGUGGUAUAGCAUCGAUCGUUAAGACAAAAUAAUAAAGUCUAAGAACAAUGUCUAGUACAAAACUUGUAUUUUUAAAAUGGUUAUAACGACAAUAUCGAUAAAGUUUGAAGUGUUGGUGAGCAUCGAUCACUCGAUUUCCUAAAUAAUUUAGGGUUAGUUUAUUUUCAUUUUAGUGUGGUCGUCGGCCAAUGCCGACACCAUGAUACCUUGUUUAUGUAGCAAAUACUCCCACUUAACACAAAAAUAUUUGCACAACGCGUACAAGCUGGUACUAAUAAACUACACUAUAAUCCUUAGUAUAUAGAAAGGGUACGUAUAAAUUAAACACAAUAUUACAAUAAUAAAAAGGUGUGAUGAGCAUUAAUUUAGAAAAGGUCUUAUGGUGUAUACAAAGAAAUAAAGGAAGAGACAACUCUUUGUGCUGUUCCAUGAUAAAUAUAAUUGGAACAUGCAUAUACUUGAUGCCCCUUCAAUUGUGAUGAAACAAACAAUUUGCUUAGUUUAGUUAUUUAUUUAUGUUAUGGUUUUUGAAAUGGAGUACCUUUGGACUCAUGCAUGCUCCUACCCCAUCAUGAUUGAGCUGGUUUUUAUAAUUUCAUGUUUUAUUUGAGAAGUAGAAGUUGAAAAAUAUGAGAAUAGAGAAGCAUAAUCAAUCUCUUGUUUCACACAAAAGUUGGAAUAAAAUUUUAAUACUUCAAAAGCAAUUUGAUUUAAGUUAAUCAUGUUAAAACUUAAAUCGAGUGUUGGAAUUAAUUAAAAAAGGAAAGAAGGAAAAGAUUAAAGCUUCAAUAUGGGAUAACAUAUUUGCAUUUUAAUAUCUUUGUUUCGAGGUGUAGCACUUUACUCACUAUGGUUACUGUUUUUGUCAAUAACUUCACGGCUUCGAGAGGAAAGUUUAUAUUUUGUGAAGAACAGAAAAAUAAAACAUACAUAGCGGGAAAAUAAAGAGUCAUAUUUUAUCAUUCUAUAGUUUGUUAAAUAUAAAACUGAAACAAAUUUACAUGAAGCUGACAAAAAGCUACAUUUUAAUCUACAAAUAUAUCAUACCAUGAGGAGUCUUUUUUUAUUUAUUUUUUUUUUUUUCAAAAAGAUCGAAUAUAUAUGAAAAGUUAGUAAAGUCUUUUAGGUAUGCUUGAAUGUUGGAAUAAGUUAUUAUCGGAUAAGUUAUCGGAUAAUAAAUUAUUCGGUACAAAGUUUUUCUUUUUGUAUAAUUGGAACGUAUUGAUCAGUUUGAUUUAGCAAACUCAUCGCAAAGUUUUAGCAUCCAUAAUUUGAAGGAAUAAUAAUAGGGUUAAUUUCAUACAAAUCCCUACAAAUAUAGUGAACAGUAAAUAUAUAUCUACAAAGUUUAACUUUUAUAUGUUAUCCCUACAAAAUAUCUAAUAUUUCAAAUAUGUCCCUAUGGUUUUUUACCGUUAGAGACCUGUUUAUAUUUUCAAUUUUGCCAUCACAAAUAUGUCCCUCCAAAAAUCAUAAUAGUAUAAUAUAAAAAGAGUAAAAAUGUCAAAAACUAACUAGGGUUAAGUAUUUAACCUAUGGUUAAUUAAAAUUUUCUAAUAGAUUCUAACGGCAGGAACAUAUUUGAAAAUAUCAGGACAUUUGUAAGGACAACAUAUAAAAGUUAAACUUUGUAGGAAUAUAUUUGUCACUCACUAUGUUUGCAGGCACCUGUAUGAAAUUAACCUAUUCCACCCACGAAAUAAUUUAUCUUAUUCCUAAAAUAUUAUGUGAAGGUUGAACAUGCUAUUUAUUUUAAACAUGUACUAGUCCUAACCUCCAAUCACAAUAAUAAAAUUUCAUACUAAAUAGAAUAUGACUAUUUAAAUUAUUUCAACUUCCAACAGGAUCUUACUUCCACUGACAUUCCAACCCAUGCCAAAUGCAGAACCCAGGGCUUGUUUGACCUUACAGCAGUGUUUAAUAAAGUACUAUAUCCAAAGUACUAUUAGGGAAAGCCUAUCAGGCCAUAAUCUUCCUUACAGCUUCCCUCUACAACAGUAGAAUCAUUUAAACUUCUCAAUUAUAUCUGCUUUUUAGUACAGUAAAAAGUUCUACAGCUAAAAGCAAGUAAAAAGUCAAAAAAAGCACAAAGGUUUGAAUAAAAACAAAUUUAUGGAAUAGUGGGAUGCAAUCAUGCAUUUGCAUUGCUCUAGAUUCAUCUCCAUAUAAAAUUAAUUGCUUUUUUAGCCCCCAUCAAUCAUCAUGCAUAGAAGGUCCACAAAAGAAACACUACAUAAAUUAAAACCUAAGCAUUUUGUUAUUUUUUAGUGUACUUGAGGUUAGAAUAAAGCUGUACUUCUGUGCCGGCCUGCUCAAGUAGUGCAAAUGCCAAAAUAGAAGUUCCUAAGAUUUUAAGCCUUUUUAGGUUUUAGUGUCCUUUUUAUUUGAGUUGAAUUAAGUGAACAUUUUUUUGGGUCCAAAUGACUCUAUUGGUCUCUUCCCUAAGGAAUUGGAGCAUAAAAUAAAAUGAAAUACUUUAGGUUGUCACAAGAUUUGUUAAUAAACAAGUUCGGUUCUGAAGUAAUCACACUGAUAAGCUAUUCCACAAAGAUUUAUUCUAAUCGUGUAUCUUACUUUAUGAUGUUUCUAUAACUAUUCUAAAAUUACGGCCCAAUUGACUAAAGAUUGUAUUUAAAUUAAGUAUGAUGCAUAGUUUAGAUGGAACUAGUCUCCACAGAAUAAUCUAGAUAAAAAUAAUGUUAGUGCAUUCUUCUCCUGAACCGCACCCUUAGUAAAUACAUGUCAUGCUAUUGGAAUGUGUACAUGAACUAAAUAAAGACUCUCACAUCAUAUAUGCUAAUAUAUCAGCAGCUUAAUUAAUUACAAGACUAGCAUUCUGAAAAUUUUUUAUAGUUGUGGAGUUCAUCAUCGUAACGACUGGGCCGAUUGAAAUAAGUUAAAAUUGUCUUCUUCUUUGGAGAGGAUGUGGAAGCCGCAAUUUGACUAGCUCAUGAACUCUUGAGAAAUGUGCCACCUGCAACAGGCUUUUUCUAGGUUUUGGAUUCAUGUAAUCACUUCAUCUUUGAAAACUUUUGAGUUGCUAGAGAUUAAUAUUGAGUAAAGGAUAAGUGAUUGUGACUCUGAAAGUGGUCGAUUGGAUAAAGAAUAUAUAGGUUGUACACUUCCAUUGUACGAUUGCUUUUUUGUUAACUACAUUGUUAAAUAACCCUAUUUGCGUACCAUUAUUGCAAGCCAGAAACUUAUCCAGCUUUCGCACUUAUCGAACUUUCAAGUGCGGUAGCAGCACAUGUAGCAUUUAGAAACUUACGGAUGCUCGAUUGCGUACGUAAUGCGUCACGUAAUUCGUACUUGGAAGAUGGUAGGAACUAGCUAGGUAGUUAGAAACUGAGUCGUAUAUUUACAGAAUCUGAUUGCUCUAUUUUGUGUUUAAAAAAACGACAGUUGAACACAUUUGCAGAACACUCGCAUACAUUCAAUUGUCGAUUCGCAUGUUUUUGUAAGACUAUAGAUGUGCACAUACAAUGAAGAUGUAAAAUUCCGAGUAUAUUACCUACACAGAAAGAGUAAUUCUACACGUUAGGAUAUUAAUUAGUUGCAUACUUUUAAAUGCAAAAGUAAUUUGUGUAUGUGCAACACAGAGUAAAACUAUUUUUAUCAUUUUCAUCCGUUAGAUUAUACUAUUCAACUGACCAUGCACCCACUCAAUCCUAGGGGACUACAUUAUAACCGGGAACCACUAUUAUUCUAACCGCAUAUCUUUUUCUCUAACGAUCGAAAACUUAUCAGUACAAAAGGAUCGAUAUUCAUAAGAGUAUAGUAGCCCUAACAUAUAUAUAUAUAUAUAUAUAUAUAUAUAUAUAUAUAUAUUAUAAAUUAAUAUAUAUGAGGAGAGAGAGAGAGAGCGAAGAGACGAAGAGAGAGAGGAGAGAAGAAGAGAGAAGAGAGAGAGAGCAUCAAAGAUUAAAAACUCAAUAGCAAAGAACCAAAUACUAUUAAUAGUAUUCCAGGUCAGUAUAAUAUUUAUAUAUAUAUAUAUAUAUAUAUAUAGAACUAGACUACUAUACUAUUAAUAGCAUCAAGUCAUUGGUGCUAUUAAUUUUUCGGCCCUUGGAUGGAGGAAUGUGCGGCUAGGAUGAUAGUGGUACCCUAGGGUUGAGCGGGUGGUUGGUUGAAUAGCAUGAUUUAACGGAUAGAAAUAAUCAAAAUGUUAAAUCUAAUGGUGAAAAAUUUAGUAGUACUAAGUGCUUGGUGCUAUUAGAAGCACCCCAGUCGAACUCUCUCUCUAUAUAUAUAUAAAGAGAGAGAGAGAGUCCGGCUGUUAUACUAUUAAUAACAUGUGUUACCAAAUUGUUUUCAAUGAUGCGGUUUCCAAAUUAACGAUCAGUAACAUUAAACUUGAUCUAUACUAUUGAAAGUAUUUGAAAACUAAAUUUCAUAAUUUUUCAACAUUAUUUGGCUAGUGAUAAAAAAGCCUCAAAAUUGACAAUUUUAAUGGUUGGUAUGAUGCGUUUUUGAAUUUAACAGUAUAAAAUAAUUCAAAUUUUAUGAAAUUUUUAUAAUUUUUUUUUACUAUUUAGAGUAAGAUCAAUAUCUCUGAUCUUAUAUUCAAGCUUUUAUUAUUAUUUUUUAUAAAAUUUUUAUUUUCAGCUGUUUAUUUUUAAAUUACUCGUUUGAUAAAUAAAUUAUGUUUAAAAAUUAUAAAAUUUAGUUUUCAAAUAUUUUUAAUAGUGCAGAUAAAAUCUAACAAAGUCGAUAAUUAAUCGAUUUGGAAGUCGUAUCAUUGAACACAAAUACCAAUAGUAUAGCGGUUGAACUCUAUAAUUGAAUAUGCUCGUGAAGUCAUUUGUGCAUUUUGUACAUCACAUGGAAUGUAUAUGUGAAGAACGUACACAUACUAAACUAGGUUUAGCAUCAAAAUUAAACAAAAAAGAAAACAAGGAAAGAACUAAAAAAAUCAUAUGAACGUAGCCUCAGAUCUGAAUAAAUUCAUCGCAUUCAAAAUGAACAUUUAUAUAUAUAUUAUAUUAUUAUAUAUAUAUAAUAUAUAUAUAUACUAGUUGAGCAUACGUGCAACUGCACGUAAUAAUUAUUUUAAUUUAUUUUAAAUCAAUAAAUAUUUGUAAAUCAUAUUUAUCAAAAUUUAAAAUAAAUAUUUUCUAAAUUUAUAUGU
rnacentral:lncRNA from 1 species